UAACCUAAUUACCCCGCUCACACUGCUUCUGUUUCGUCCCAAACAAACACCGACUCCACCACCACCACCACCACCACCACCGCCGCCUCCUUCCUUCAGCACCUUCCUUCAGCACCUCCUCCUCGUCUCGAUCAACCGAAUCCCCGUCGCGGUUUCCUGGAGAAGCCUUUCCCACCUCACUCUUCGCCUCUAAUUUGUUCCAGCCCUCUAAACCCUAAUAUUUCACGCGUCCGGACUCGAGCAUCGCAGCAGACGCAGCCUCUUCGCUAAAGAUGCUCUCCCGCUCUGCCUCUCUUCGCCAGCCUCUUCGCUUCCUUGUUCUCACUGCUGUAGCUUCCUUCCACCCUCGCUGCAUCUCCUCUCCGCCUCCGCCUCCACCUCCGCCUCUGUCUUUUCCUCGUCUCCCCUCUCCUCUGUUCCCUCCGUCCAAUUCCGCUUCCUUUCAAUACUCUAAGGCAUUCUCUAGCGGGAGUCGCGAUGAUGGCGGCGACUGGAAAUUAACCCCCGAGGAGGACGAGGGUGGUUUCGUUUUUCCGGACGAGGGCGACCUUGCAGGGAUUUCUGAUGACGCCCCGAGACCCUCCGGAACAGAGGCGAUCAACGCUGUAGCCGGAAUCAUGGAUCAGUGGGAAAAGGGCUCCGGGACAGUUGAUAAAGGGGAUAUUUUUGAUGGCCUCGAUGGAGAGACUCUGGCUAACGAGAACGGGCUUGGAGGAUUAGGCGUGGAGGAAUGGGAGACGGCUGAGGGAUACAAGCCAUGGUCAUUGGGCGACGAUGAUGAAAAAUUGAGCCUGUUCAACGAUGGCGAUGGAGGGGUAGUCAACGGUGGCGUUGAUGAUUUAGGGAAGUCUAGUGAUGAGCAGAAGCAGCAACUUGAGAUGCGAGAGAAAGAGCUGUUAGAUAUUCUGGAAGGUCCGAAACAUGCAUUUGGAGAUCUCACUGAAGCAUCAGGGAUCACAGAUGAUAUGAUUGAUAGUUUGAUUAUAUUGAAGGAUGUAACGGGUGUUCCAGGAUUACCUCCUCUUAAGGAAAUACAAGAGGAAGCAAUUGCAAAGAUGAAUGCAACAUCAACAAGAACUGAAAUUGAGCGUAAGAAACAAGAGGAGAUUGCAAAAUCUAGAGUUCGUCAGGUGGAUGAAAAGGGUAGAGCAUAUGGAACAGGGAGAAGGAAAUGCAGCGUAGCUCGUGUAUGGAUUAAACCCGGUGAUGGGACGUUCAUUGUAAAUGACAAGCAGUUUGAUGUUUAUUUUCCCAUUCUUGAUCACCGAGCAGAACUUCUCAGACCUUUCACUGUCACAAAAACUCUCGGUCUCUGGGACGUAAAUUGCACUGUUAAAGGGGGUGGAGUUUCUGGUCAAGUUGGAGCCAUCCGCUUGGGAAUCAGCAGAGCAUUGCAAUGUUGGGAACCAGGCCUUCGACCUUACCUAAAAGCUGCUGGUUAUUUAACACGUGAUCCACGCGUAGUUGAACGAAAGAAGCCUGGCAAAGCUAAAGCAAGGAAGAGCUUUCAAUGGGUUAAACGGUAGAAGGAUUCUUUGCAGCCAACAUUCAUCUUCUACCAAAUUCCGCCGCUUCUUAUUUCUGUUUUGCUGUUCAAAUAUGACGACCUAUGCGAUGUGGCUCUCAGUUCACCCACACCUCUUCCAUGCUUCGAUAACUCGCAAUGCACCAUAAACUUGUAGUGAUUAGGGCCAUGGAGAAAGCAGCAGUAGCAGUUCUGGAGGCUUGCGUAAAAGAGGCCUUUGUCCCAUCUACACCAUCCUUGGCUUAAAUUUGAUGAAGAAAGAACCUACUGAUAUGCCAUUAUAAUUAAUUGACUCUCGCCGACUGCUCAUUGCUCAACCAUUUAUUAGUUAUCUGUAGCUGCUGGAGUGCUUAAUUUUCAUGUUCUAGGUGAAGAAUAGUUUCAUAUUAAUUAACAUCCACUGAAUGAUGUUAUUCUUACUUAGCCUAAUUAUGAUAUGAUAAAUUUAAGUAA